rnacentral:tmRNA from 2 species
UCACUUCACAUUAAGCCGGUAUCGCCUAUAUGGGGCGGUGCCGGCUUCGGCCGGAUAUGGCGAUAAACUGCGCUGUGUAAUAGAUGCAACGGACCCGGGGGCAGUACCCGGCGGCUCCACCAUCUCCUCCGUUGCGGCGGGGGGCAUGACGGGGCCGAACCAGGAUCGACGUGCGUUGAAAGACAGUGUUUUUGCCCGGGCUGAGUAACCCGUUCAAGGCUCACAACACACAAGUGCCAACGACAACGAAGCACUUGCUCUUGCUGCGUAAUCUGACGGCUUAACGGCCUGAUCUUACAAAGACUUGAGCACGGUUCGGACCGAACCGGGUAACAGAAUCGGAAACC